rnacentral:rRNA from 1 species
ACUCCUACGGGAGGCAGCAGUGGGGAAUAUUGCGCAAUGGGCGGAAGCCUGACGCAGCGACGCCGCGUGAGGGAUGACGGCCUUCGGGUUGUAAACCUCUUUCAGCUCUGACGAAGAGUGACGGUAGGAGCAGAAGAAGCACCGGCCAACUACGUGCCAGCAGCCGCGGUAAUACGUAGGGUGCAAGCGUUGUCCGGAAUUAUUGGGCGUAAAGAGCUCGUAGGCGGUUUGUCGCGUCGAAUGUGAAAACCCGGGGCUCAACCCCGGGCCUGCAUUCGAUACGGGCAGACUAGAGUUCGGUAGGGGAGUCUGGAAUUCCUGGUGUAGCGGUGAAAUGCGCAGAUAUCAGGAGGAACACCGGUGGCGAAGGCGGGACUCUGGGCCGAUACUGACGCUGAGGAGCGAAAGCGUGGGGAGCGAACAGGAUUAGAUACCCUGGUAGUCCACGCCGUAAACGUUGGGCGCUAGGUGUGGGGUUCCUUCCACGAACUCCGUGCCGCAGCUAACGCAUUAAGCGCCCCGCCUGGGGAGUACGGCCGCAAGGCUAAAACUCAAAGGAAUUGACGGGGGCCCGCACAAGCGGCGGAGCAUGCGGAUUAAUUCGAUGCAACGCGAAGAACCUUACCAAGGCUUGACAUGCACGGGAAAGUUCCAGAGAUGGUUCCCCCGCAAGGUCCGUGCACAGGUGGUGCAUGGUUGUCGUCAGCUCGUGUCGUGAGAUGUUGGGUUAAGUCCCGCAACGAGCGCAACCCUUGUCUUAUGUUGCCAGCGCGUAGUGGCGGGGACUCAUAAGAGACUGCCGGGGUCAACUCGGA